AAGACUAUACUUUCAGGUAUCAUUUCUAGAGUUUCUGACUUGAGGAUUGUAUUUCGAACGUGUUUGGUCUUGCUCCCCAUGAUAAUUAUUCGUGAUCUUCCUUUCUGAAAGUGACGCCGACAGAGAGUAAUGAUUCAUUCCAUAUGUUCUCUGUCAUGAUGAUUGUUCUUUGCUUCUUUAUGGAGUAUUAAGGAAGGGACUAUGAUCAGAGUGGU